GGGCCGCUGGUCUAGUGGUAUGAUUCUCGCUUAGGGUUCACUCUAAUCAUUUGCUUGCGAGAGGUCCCGGGUUCAAUCCCCGGGUGGCCCC